GACGAACGCUGGCGGCGUGCUUAACACAUGCAAGUCGAACGGAAAGGCCCUGCUUUUGUGGGGUGCUCGAGUGGCGAACGGGUGAGUAACACGUGAGUAACCUGCCCUUGACUUUGGGAUAACUUCAGGAAAUUGGGGCUAAUACCGGAUAGGAGCUCCUGCUGCAUGGUGGGGGUUGGAAAGUUUCGGCGGUUGGGGAUGGACUCGCGGCUUAUCAGCUUGUUGGUGGGGUAGUGGCUUAUCAAGGCUUUGACGGGUAGCCGGCCUGAGAGGGUGACCGGCCACAUUGGGACUGAGAUACGGCCCAGACUCCUACGGGAGGCAGCAGUGGGGAAUAUUGCACAAUGGGCGGAAGCCUGAUGCAGCAACGCCGCGUGCGGGAUGACGGCCUUCGGGUUGUAAACCGCUUUCGCCUGUGACGAAGCGUGAGUGACGGUAAUGGGUAAAGAAGCACCGGCUAACUACGUG
rnacentral:rRNA from 1 species